CCCUAUGUUCUUAAAAGCUUAAUGUUUGAUCUAAGAAUCGAUGAGAAAAUUGUUCGAUCAUCAACCUAUUACGUCUGCGUUUAGUAUCUUUCCAUCUCAAAAUUGGAAUUCUUCAUAGAGAUUAUUACAAAGAUGAUGUUGCCAAUAGAAGACGAUUUACAAAGAUAAGUUCUCUGCUACGAUUAUUAUAUAACAAAAGAUGUUUUAAAUAUAUAUGGUGCUAAUGAUAGAUAAUUCAAUGUUUACAGACCAUGCAACAUCUUUGGAAUCACGCAAAUUUGAUGUCGUUUAAAACCAGUCCAGAUUCUGAAAGCACUGUUAAAGUUUUGUUCAAUGUAUACAAUCCAAGCAUCAGUUCUCGUAAAAUUUUUAUGGAUGAGGCAGAAUUGAUAUUGCCUUCAUAUGAAUUCUGAAACAUAAAAGCAUCGGUAAAGGCUUGACGUCAGCAAGAGCAGUGAAUGCUACUGGUGCUGCCAUUUUCUUAGAAGGGUCAUGAGGAGAAGAAAGCUUUUAAAAGAUAUCGAUCAUAAGGCCUGAUAGUAAUAGUGGGCCAAUAAACAGAAAGCCCAUUAUGCUUUAAAUGCUAGGAUCCGUGCGUAUUACCGACUAUUGGCCCGUGAUCCGCGUGAUUAACCAGAUGGAUAUCCGAAUAAAUAUCCAAGAUCCGCGUCCUUCUAAAUGCCAAAUGUCAAAUAUACCCCUCAACGAAAUUGUCUGUUUUCACGUGAAAUCCUAAAAUUGUAAUGACUUCAAUUGUAAUUCUUUACCCCUUAUUGAGGUUAGUUAUUCAAAAAUGCUUCCCAAUUAAUAAUAUAGAUGUACACAUCA